rnacentral:rRNA from 1 species
AGAUAUGAUCCAGAGUACCACGGGACACGUGAAACCCUGUGGGAAGCAGGAGGGACCACCCUCCAAGGCUAAAUACUACCUAGUGACCGAUAGCGUAUAGUACCGUGAGGGAAAGGUGAAAAGAACCCCGGGAGGGGAGUGAAAUAGAACCUGAAACCCUGCACUUACAAGCUGUGGAAGCACAUUUCUUGUGUGACCGCGUACUUUUUGUAGAACGGGCCAACGAGUUACGUUAAGUAGCAAGGUUAAGCACUUAAGGUGUGGAGCCGUAGCGAAAGCGAGUUUUAACUGAGCGUUCAGUUACUUGACGUAGACCCGAAACCGGGCGACCUACCCAUGAGCAGGAUGAAGCGAAAGUAAAAUUUCGUGGAGGUCCGAACCCACGAGCGUUGAAAAGCUCGGGGAUGACUUGUGGGUAGCGGUGAAAUUCCAAUCGAGCCCGGAGAUAGCUGGUUCUCCCCGAAAUAGCUUUAGGGCUAGCCUCAAGGUGAGAGAUACGGAGGUAGAGCACUGAAUGUCCUAGGGGGUAUUGCACCUACCGAAGACUAUCAAACUCCGAAUGCCGUCAUCUUAUACUUGGGAGUCAGACUGUGGGUGAUAAGAUUCAUAGUCGAAAGGGCAACAGCCCAGAUCGUCAGCUAAGGUCCCUAAAUGUAAGUUAAGUGGUAAAGGAUGUGGGAUUGCACAGACAACCAGGAUGUUGGCUUAGAAGCAGCCACUCAUUCAAAGAGUGCGUAAUAGCUCACUGGUCGAGUGAUCCUGCGCCGAAGAUUUCCGGGGCUAAAACUUACUACCGAAGCUACGGCAUCAGUAAUGAUGGGUAGGGGAGCUUCCCAUACGGGUUGAAGCAUGACCGUAAGGACAUGUGGACAGUAUGGGAGUGAGAAUGUUGGCAUGAGUAGCGAGAUGUGGGUGAGAAUCCCACAGGCCGUAAACCCAAGGUUUCCAGGGGAAGGUUCGUCCGCCCUGGGUUAGUCGGGACCUAAGCUGAGGCCGAAAGGCGUAGGUGAUGGACAACAGGUUGAUAUUCCUGUACUACCGAUAACCGUUUGAGAGAAGGGAUGACACAGUAGGAUAAGCUAAGCACACUGUUGGUUAUGUGUGCCCAAGCAUUGAGGCAGUCAAAGUAGGCAAAUCCGCUUUGAUAAUGCUGGGAUGUGAUGGGGAGCGAAAUUUAGUAGCGAAGUAGCUGAUUUCACACUGUCAAGAAAAGUCUCUAUCGAGGUUAAAGGUACCCGUACCGCAAACCGACACAGGUGGGUGAGGAGAGUAUCCUAAGGCCAGCGAGAGAACUGUUGUUAAGGAACUCGGCAAAAUGACCCCGUAACUUAGGGAUAAGGGGUGCCACCAUCAGGUGGCCGCAGAGAAUAGGCCCAAGCGACUGUUUACCAAAAACAUAGGUUUCUGCUAAGUCGCAAGACGAUGUAUAGGAGCUGACGCCUGCCCGGUGCUGGAAGGUUAAGGGGAUCUGUUAGAGCAAUCGAAGCAGUGAACUUAAGCCCCAGUAAACGGCGGCCGUAACUAUAACGGUCCUAAGGUAGCGAAAUUCCUUGUCGGGUAAGUUCCGACCCGCACGAAAGGCGUAACGAUUUGGGCACUGUCUCAACAACAGACUCGGUGAAAUUGUAAUUCCGGUGAAGAUGCCGGAUACCUGCGACAGGACGGAAAGACCCCAUGGAGCUUUACUGUAGCUUGACAUUGGGUCUUGGUACUACAUGUACAGGAUAGGUGGGAGGCUUUGAAACCAGGACGCCAGUUUUGGCGGAGCCAUCCUUGGGAUACCACCCUUGUAGUACUGGGACUCUAACCAUAGGCCAUGAAUCUGGUCUUGGGACACUGUCAGGUGGGCAGUUUGACUGGGGCGGUCGCCUCCCAAAAGGUAACGGAGGCGCUCAAAGGUUCUCUCAGUACGGUCGGAAAUCGUACGUAGAGUGUAAAGGCAAAAGAGAGCUUGAUUGCAAGACAUACAGGUCGAGCAAGGAUGAAAAUCGGACUUAGUGAUCCGGUGGUUCUGCGUGGAAGGGCCAUCGCUCAACGGAUAAAAGCUACCCUGGGGAUAACAGGCUUAUCUCCCCCAAGAGUCCACAUCGACGGGGAGGUUUGGCACCUCGAUGUCGGCUCAUCACAUCCUGGGGCUGUAGUAGGUCCCAAGGGUUGGGCUGUUCGCCCAUUAAAGUGGUACGCGAGCUGGGUUCAGAACGUCGUGAGACAGUUCGGUCCCUAUCCGUCGCAGGCGUAGGAAAUUUGAGAAGACCUGUCCUUAGUACGAGAGGACCGGGAUGGACGUACCUCUGGUGUACCAGUUGUCCUGCCAAGGGCAUGGCUGGGUAGCUAUGUACGGAAUGGAUAAGCGCUGAAAGCAUCUAAGCGCGAAGCCAACUUCAAGAUAAGAUUUCCCACCGCAAGGGUAAGACCCCAGAAAGACUAUCUGGUUGAUAGGUCGAAGGUGUAAGUGCAGCAAUGUAUUUAGCUUAUCGAUACUAAUAGGUCGAGGACUUGACCAA